rnacentral:rRNA from 1 species
GAUAAACGCUGGCGGCGCACAUAAGACAUGCAAGUCGAACGGACUUAACCGAAAGUUUACUUUUGGAGCGGUUAGUGGCGGACUGGUGAGUAACACGUAAGCAACCUGCCUAUCAGAGGGGAACAACAGUUAGAAAUGACUGCUAAUACCGCAUAUGCCUAAGUACCACAUGGUACAAUAGGGAAAGAAGCAAUUCGCUGAUAGAUGGGCUUGCGUCUGAUUAGAUAGUUGGUGGGGUAACGGCCUACCAAGUCGACGAUCAGUAGCCGGACUGAGAGGUUGAACGGCCACAUUGGGACUGAGAUACGGCCCAG